AAUUGCUCUAAAUGAAAUAAUCCUGUAUAGAAUAUCGUGAUUGACAUCAAUACCCUCCUCCCUGUUUCAAUUUUUAACAAAAUCCCGCAUAAAUGCAUAACAAUCAAUAAAAUCAAUCUUACCUACAUUCAUUCAUCAAGAUUAUUUUGACAACAAUGUUAGUUGAUUAAAUUAUCACUUAUCAAGAAUUCAAAAGCAAUACCUAUAUACUUAUACGAGAUUAAAUUAUGUCUACACCAUCAUCCAUAGCCGCAACCCUCUUGUACCCUCCUUUCUCUCCUUAAAACACAAUAAUUUCAAGAGUAGAAUAAAACAAUUACCAUAAUUUCCCCAAGUUCUCCAUUAAUUAAACGAACACACCCAAAAAAAAAAAAAAAAACCUCUCUGUACUCUCUCUCUUUCCUCUCACCGCCUCAAUUUCUGUUGUAUUGCUCUGGUGCUCCCAAAAUCCAAAUGCAAUUACCUGCUAUUUUCUCUCCUCCGAUGCCCUAAUUUCUCUCAUUAGCUUUGCAAUUCGGGGCAUAAUUCGUUUCUCCAAUCCCUAAUUUUUGAGCUAUUUUAUUACAAUUUUGUAGAAUUUUUUUUCCUAGGGUUUUUGAUUGGUAAUUGAAAUCAUUGGAAAAUUUUCGGUUGGUUGGCAUUUGAAAUUAGGAUUUUGAGUAAUUUGAUGUAAUCGCCAUGGCUCCUGCGCGUAAAAAAGGAGCCAAUAAAACGAAGACUGCUGACGAGUUGCGACUCGGCGAUCUUGUUCUUGCUAAGGUCAAGGGAUUCCCUGCUUGGCCUGCAAAGGUUAGUAGGCCUGAAGACUGGGAGCGAGCCCCUGACCCAAAGAAGUAUUUCGUGCAGUUCUUUGGAACCCAAGAAAUAGCUUUCGUUGCUCCACCUGAUGUGCAAGCAUUUACAAGUGAGUCAAAGUGUAGAUUACUGGCUAGGUGCAAAGGGAAAACUGUAAAAUACUUCGCUCAAGCUGUAAAGGAAAUAUGUGAAGCAUUUGAAAAAAGUAAUUUUAGUGGUCUUGGUGACAAUGUAUCUGCUCUCAAUCAUGAUGCUUCUUAUGAUGAAGGAAAUGUCAAUGGUUCUCGUGCUGAGUUGAGCAGAAAACCUAAAUCUGUCAAAUUAUAUGCCAGUGAUUCUGCAUUUGAUCACACCUCUGGGAUGGGGGGCGGUUAUAAAGUGGAAGAUUUGUUGGAACGGGCUGAUGCUGCUGAAGAAUUUAAGAAAUCUGAUUGUCAUGAAAUGACUGAGAAAGUUAUAGCAACAGGUAGGGCAUUUUGUACUGAUGCUUCACCUCCUAGCUCACUUGUCCCUUCCUCAGUUAAGGAAGAAACAGCUUUAGGGGCGAAUAUAGCAGAUACAGCUGCUCAUCAUGAAAGAAUUGAGUCAUCAAGGGCCUCAAGUUCCAGCCCAUACAGCGGUCAUUCCGAAUUAAAAAGGGCUACCAGUUAUCAUGGGGAUGGUAAAAAAUAUACUCCAAUGUCAUUAGGAGCUUCAGAUCAUCUUAAGCUUUCAUCUGGUGGGGACAAUAAGUCAGCAAAUGGACACAAGUCCCGGGAUUUGGUUGCUGGGGCUAAAAGGAAAAUUGAGGGUGUGGUUCGUCACACUGAAGCUGCUAAAUCUGGCGUGCUUGGAAAAGAUAAGAUACCUGGUAAACUUCCAGCUGGAGGACGUGCAAAGCGGUUGUCUGCUGGUGUAAAUAAAAUGGAGUCUAGUCCUCAGGGGAAGGCCUCACAAAGCUUGGUUAAAGACCAGAAGCAUGUGGACUUCGGAACAAAUUCACCAAAGGAUACAACCUCUGAUGCUAAGGAUCAUGGAGAUAUGGAGUAUUCAAGACGUAAAAAUCGGCAAAUUGUCCAGCCACAGUCAAUUAAGAAGGCUAAGCAUGUACACACAAUAAGUGAUGUUGCAAAGGGGUCAGUAAUCAAAAGUGAAAAAAGUGAUAUGGAACACAAAAUUUAUGAUGAGGAAGCUUUACCACCUGUAGCAAAGCAUCAUCGCAGAGCAUUAGAGUCCACGUCUGAUGUAAACAAUUCAUCUGAAGAUAAAAAAGGUUUUGGUCUCAAAUCUCUGAAGAGUGAUAUUCCUAAGAAAAGACGAGCUGUUUGCUUGUACAAUGACGACGAUGAUGACGAUGCUGAUCCUAAAACUCCAGUUCAUGGAAGGUCUUUUUCUGCCUCCAAAGCUGGUUCAUCUGCAAUAAUUCCAGAUACUAUCAAGAAAUUUGAUGAGAAUCACAAGUCUUACGGUUGUGCUGGAGAAAACCUGAAGGUUUUAAGUAAAGAUGGAGGUGGCUCUCUGAAGGAAUUUUCUGCUGUUAAGUUAGCUGGAGCUUCUUUUGUACCUUCCACUCUGCAGCUGAAGGUAGACAGUUCUACAAAAGCCCUAAUAUCUCAAAGCCCUGAAAAAGAAGAAUUAGACAAGUUGCUGGUUAAGGAUGCUAAGAAAGAUUUGGUUUCCCCCACAACGUCUCCUUUGGUAGCAACUGCGGUUAAGAAGUUGGCUGACCAACAAAAGUCUACUAGAUCAUCCAUCAAGGGGACUAGUUUGAAUUCUCAUAAUAAGGCUCAAAAUAUGCCUAGCAAAGAUUUAAAAUCUGUUUCUGGCUUGCCAACUUGUCAGAGUCACGUGUCUUCGCAUAAGAUUAGGCAGCCUUUGUCUGCGGAGAGGGCUAAAAGUAUCCCUAAAGUGUCUACAAGGUUGAAUGGACCGAUUUCUUUUGAUAACCAGAAAGAAUAUGAUCAUGUGCUGGUUGAUGACAGAAUGGAAGAUUUGAAGGACAGUUCUGGUUCUUUGGUUGAUUCAAAGACCAUAGACUCUGCACUAUCCAUGAAACAUUUAAUUGCUGCAGCUCAGGCGAAAAGACGACUAGCUCAUAUACACAAUGUACCUCAGGGUAAUGGAAAUUCUGCAGCGGCACCUUCUGCUAAUCUUCAUGGAAAGAGUCCAAGCCCAUCGUCUAAAGGCCAUAAUCAUUCAUCUAGUUUGGGUGAUGUAACUGAGCUUGACACUCAUGAAGUCCAUCAUGGAACUUUGGCUUCCCCUCCUGAUCCUAUUCGUCAGCUGGCAUCACAUAAUCAAUUGAGCUCUGACGAACAAGAAAAAGGACCUGGCUCAGCACACCUAACAGCUGGAAGUAUUUUGAGUGGUGGUACAGAAGCAGCGGUUGCUCGGGAUACUUUUGAAGGAAUGAUAGAGACACUGUCGAGGACGAAAGAAAGUAUUGGACGUGCUACUCGUCUUGCUAUUGAUUGUGCUAAGUAUGGAAUAGCAAAUGAGGUUGUGGAACUGCUCAUUCGUAAGUUGGAAAACGAGCCAAACUUACAUAGGAGAGUGGAUCUCUUUUUUCUGGUGGACUCCAUCACUCAGUGCUCACAUAGUCAAAAAGGCAUAGCUGGCGCCUCGUAUAUCCCUAUUGUCCAAGCAGCAUUGCCCCGCCUUUUAGGUGCAGCUGCUCCAUCUGGGGCUAGUGCUAAGGAAAAUCGCAGACAGUGCCUGAAGGUUUUGCGCUUGUGGCUUGAGAGAAAAAUUCUACCGGACUCAGUACUUCGACGCUUAAUGGAUGAUAUUGGUAGUUCAAAUGAUGAUAUGAGUAGUGGGUUUUCCUUUAGACGUCCUUCAAGAACUGAACGAUCAGUGGAUGAUCCUAUCAGGGAAAUGGAGGGUAUGCUUGUCGAUGAAUAUGGGAGCAAUGCUACUUUCAAUUUGCCUGGAUUUUUAUCUACUCAUGGAUUUGUUGAUGACGACGAAGAUGAGGAUGUUCCAAGUUUUUCUCUCAGAGAAUUUGAUGUGUCUCCAUUGCAACCUUCAAAUAAUUCGGCAGGGCUUGAAACUGAAAAUACUCCAAAUGAUAGGCGCCAUCACAUCUUGGAGGAGGUGGAUGGUGAGCUAGAGAUGGAAGAUGUUUCUGGGCACCUAAAGGAUGGAGCACGCUCUCCCGGUGAGUUGUCAAAGAAAGUUGAGCAAGGGAUGCAGUUGGACGCUCAAUUUCAGUGUUCUACUAAUGAAUUUGUUGAGUCCCCAUCAUUCGAGGGUUCCCCACCAUUACCUCUUGAAUCUCCUCCCCCCCUUCCCCCAUUACCUUCUUCACCUCCUCCUCCACCACCACCUUCAUCGCCUUCUCCUCCACCGCCCCCACCACCAUCACAAAUGCUACCCUCUCAGCCUCCUCCGCCUUCUUUGGUGCCAUUAGGUCCCCCACAUAUUGGUAAACAUCAACCUCUGCUUCCCCCACAGCCUUCCACAACUCAAGUAUUGUUGCUGCCUCUGUCUGUAGUUCGUUCUGCACAUGCUCCUUUACCUCCUGAAUACAGUAUGCCAGCUGGUGGCCACCCUGUUCUGAUUGCCGGCAACACCCCUCAACAAGUACCUUGUUUUCCUGCUGGAUUAUCUGGUUCACUUGACACACCUGGAUACAAUUCUGUGUAUGCAGGACCACUAGCUGGGCAGUCCAACCAGCAGUAUCAGCAAAGCCAGCAAUUUCAGCCUUGUCAGGCGACAUAUGGACAGAGAGCUUUCCCACCAGUCACUGUACCCCAACCCCCUUCAGGCCAUUUUGCAUAUAAUAAGCCUACACAGCAGAUGCCCCAACCCCGGCCUCAUCCUCCUCCCUCGGUUCCUUCUCAUCCAUACACAUCAGCCUCUCACUCUGAAGGUUUAAGACGAUUUGGUGAUGAACAAUGGAGGCCUGCCUCUGCUGAAUAUAACACAGACAGCCAGCAUAAUUCAUGGAUGAAUGGAGGGAGGAUUCCAGCAUGUCCUACUACAAAUUUUGCCGGGGAAGCAUAUUUUCGACCUUCUGAAAGGGCAAUGCCAGAUAACAUGGGAUACCAAGUCUCGGCUCCUAACCCUGCUAUGGCAGGUCCUUCAGUAUCAGGUCAUGGUAUCAAUCAUAUGUUACCUGCCGGACCAGAUCUGUCGUCUCUUAAUUGUUGGAGGCCGGUGUAGAAGUUUAAUUGAAGUUGAGCUGUUGAAUUCAAUGCUUCGGGGCUGAAAAGAUUGGUCUUCAAUAUUUUUUUCGUACAAGUCUUCCCAUUGACUUGGCAUACAGGGAGAUACAAGUGCCUGUAAUUGUGUCACAAAGACUAUGUUGAUAUCCUGACAGACAGUAUAGAGUUUAUUUUUCCUGAGAAAUCAACACCUGCUGACAUUUGCCUCCCAAUGUUUUGCUGAUACUGUACAUUGGUUUCUUAAUUAUGAUUCUUCAUCACUCUGGAGCAUGAUCCAAACAUUCUGGGAGAUUGAUGGUGGCUACUUUGGAGGUAAACUCUUAUUUUGAAGCUUGACAGUCAUGACAGAUCAUUGAUACUUACAUGAGCGCUUAUGCAAGGGCUCUACAUUUGGGUAGCUAUAAAGGUAGUACUUAUACAUUAGCACCAAGUCUUGCUGUAUAUAUUGAGACUAACAAUGCUGCACAGAUACCUUGGUUCAAUUUGUAAAUACUUUUCAUUUAACCACCCAUUAUUGGUAUCUAAGGAUAAUCUGUUGGCUGCAUCUCAAUGAUUAUCUUAUCUUUUGUCAUAUUUUGGUUUUA